ACUCUAAGUGAGAAGACUGUAUGAGACAUGCAACAAUACAGUCAACAUUUUCUGACUUUCGAUUAAAUAAAAGCAUGUCAAUAAACUAUACAUGUCUGGCCCUUAAUGUGAUUCUCAUUUUCUAGCGUGGCCCUUAGUG